GACGAACGCUGGCGGCGUGCUUAACACAUGCAAGUCGAACGGAAAGGCCCUGCUUUUGUGGGGUGCUCGAGUGGCGAACGGGUGAGUAACACGCGAGUAACCUGCCCUUGACUUUGGGAUAACUUCAGGAAAAUGGGGCUAAUACCGGAUAGGAGCUCCUGCUGCAUGGUGGGGGUUGGAAAGUUUCGGCGGUUGGGGAUGGACUCGCGGCUUAUCAGCUUGUUGGUGGGGUAGUGGCUUACCAAGGCUUUGACGGGUAGCCGGCCUGAGAGGGUGACCGGCCACAUUGGGACUGAGAUACGGCCCAGACUCCUACGGUAGGCAGCAGUGGGGAAUAUUGCACAAUGGGCGGAAGCCUGAUGCAGCAACGCCGCGUGCGGGAUGACGGCCUUCGGGUUGUAAACCGCUUUCGCCUGUGACGAAGCGUGAUUGACGGUAAUGGGUAAAGAAGCACCGGCUAACUACGUG
rnacentral:rRNA from 1 species